GAUGAACGCUGGCGGCGUGCCUAAUACAUGCAAGUCGAGCGAACAGACGAGGAGCUUGCUCCUCUGACGUUAGCGGCGGACGGGUGAGUAACACGUGGAUAACCUACCUAUAAGACUGGGAUAACUUCGGGAAACCGGAGCUAAUACCGGAUAAUAUAUUGAACCGCAUGGUUCAAUAGUGAAAGACGGUUUUGCUGUCACUUAUAGAUGGAUCCGCGCCGCAUUAGCUAGUUGGUAAGGUAACGGCUUACCAAGGCAACGAUGCGUAGCCGACCUGAGAGGGUGAUCGGCCACACCGGAACUGAGACACGGUCCAGACUCCUAAGGGAGGCAGCAGUAGGGAAUCUUCCGCAAUGGGCGAAAGCCUGACGGAGCAACGCCGCGUGAGUGAUGAAGGUCUUCGGAUCGUAAAAAUCUGUUAUUAGGGAAGAACAAAUGUGUAAGUAACUAUGCACGUCUUGACGGUACCUAAUCAGAAAGCCACGGCUAACUACGUG
rnacentral:rRNA from 1 species